GACUGGUAUUCUUUUCGCAUCACGUGACUUCCGGUCUCUCCCUCUUUCUGGAAGAUCCAUGGGUUGGCAACGCGUCCUCGUGCUCAAAAGAUUGAGAUGCAAGAUCUAUUGGAAACGAGCAGCAGACGUGGGAUGAAAGUAACACAGUAUUAUCCAUCAAUUUAGGAUGGUUUUGCAGCCGAUGGUGAUGUGAGUUGUCAACGAGGACAUACAGUGGUUGACCUGCAGGUAGCUGUAGAUGCCACAUAUCAAAUGUUCAGUGUGACGUGUAGCCUGAGCUGAGUAAGUGGACACGACGGCGCCCUCUUGUGGACGUGACUGGAACUCUAGAAGCAACGUCACUGCAUUGGAGUUUUGUUUUAAUGAAACAUAACACAAUAAAACAACUUACCGUAAAAUA